AGAGUUUGAUCUUGGCUCAGGAUGAACGCUAGCUACAGGCUUAACACAUGCAAGUCGCGGGGCAGCAUGAAUUUAGCUUGCUAAAUUUGAUGGCGACCGGCGCACGGGUGAGUAACGCGUAUCCAACCUUCCCCUGUCCACGGGAUAGCCCGUCGAAAGGCGGAUUAAUACCGUAUGAGGUCACACGAUGGCAUCAGACUGUGACGAAAGGUUUAGCGGACAGGGAUGGGGAUGCGUCCGAUUAGCUUGUUGGCGGGGUAACGGCCCACCAAGGCUACGAUCGGUAGGGGUUCUGAGAGGAAGGUCCCCCACAUUGGAACUGAGACACGGUCCAAACUCCUACGGGAGGCAGCAGUGAGGAAUAUUGGUCAAUGGGCGAGAGCCUGAACCAGCCAAGUAGCGUGCAGGACGACGGCCCUAUGGGUUGUAAACUGCUUUUAUGCGGGGAUAACGUGCACCACGUGUGGUGUAUUGCAGGUACCGCAUGAAUAAGGAUCGGCUAAUUCCGUGCCAGCAGCCGCGGUAAUACGGAAGGUCCGGGCGUUAUCCGGAUUUAUUGGGUUUAAAGGGAGCGUAGGCCGCUGUUUAAGCGUGUUGUGAAAAACCGGGGCUCAACUCCGGUCGUGCAGCGCGAACUGGACGGCUUGAGUGCGCGGUAAGUGGGCGGAAUUUGUGGUGUAGCGGUGAAAUGCUUAGAUAUCACGAAGAACUCCGAUUGCGAAGGCAGCUCACCGUAGCGCAACUGACGCUGAAGCUCGAAAGUGCGGGUAUCGAACAGGAUUAGAUACCCUGGUAGUCCGCACGGUAAACGAUGGAUGCCCGCUGUUCCGACUAUUAGUUGGAGUGGCCAAGCG
rnacentral:rRNA from 1 species